UAGGCUGCUGGGAACCAGCCCCCUCACACUUUCCACUGCGAAGCGAAACCCCGGGCCUUGGGCUGGGGGGCGGGCAGUGGGGAGGAGAAGCAGAAGGUCUGGGCCUGGAGGAGCAACUCAGAUUCUAGCUAGCUGUAGUGAGUGGGCUUGCCUGCCCUCUACUCAGGGCCCUAGCCCUGUCCUCUGGUCAUUGACUGUCCUGCUGUCCCCAGACCCCACUCCUGAAGGUCCUCUUUAUCCUACAUUCUUUGCCUCACCUCCCUCCUUGUGGAAUUUCUCUCUCUCUCUCUCUUUUUUUUUUCUCCCAGGACCUUUUUCUGAACUCCCUUGCAGGGCCUGUGAAGCCCGGGGGCCACAGAGGAGAUGAGGCAGGAUCUGUUCCUUGACCUUUUGCUUCUGCAGCUGCUUUGGGAAGCUCCAGCCUCGAAUUUCCCCACCUGGAUCCCAACUUUCUGCGAAGAGGAUGGGUCACCUGGCAACAUCGACCAGACAGUGACCAACCCGCUUCCAUCCCGGCCCUUGACCUUCUCCAGGGAAUGCCCUCGACUAGGAGACACCCACCCCAUCGCUACACGGUGCUGAGUGUGGCUCCAGGAGGCCUGCGCAGCGGGAGGCAGCCCCUGCUAUCCCACGUGCAGCUGGAGAAGCGUGGCCCCCAGCGCGGGGACUUCUCUCUGUGGUUGCGCCCAGCUACGCGCAAAGAUGCGGG
rnacentral:lncRNA from 1 species